GCAUAGGCGGCAAAAUUUUCCUCGUUUCCCUCUUUUGGCCUAACCCCUCCUUUUGUUCCAAACUUCCCAAGUUUCAUCAAAUGCUUCAGAGCUGCUGAGUAGGAACGGAACGAUGCUCGGCCUUCCCUCAAUCAACGUUAGGGUUUGAAAUGUUAAGUAGGCUGCGACAUAAACUGCUUGGAGGGUAUCGCAGAAACGAUAGAGCUUCGCGACGUAGAUCCCUUUGACGCCAUUUUCACGAUAGUCAUGUUUCUCUUUUCCUUCAACUUCCAACAAAUGUGUUUUCUUGUUCAACACUUUGGGGUCAACUGCCACCUAAUUUUUUCCAACUCUCGAGUAAAUCAGAUGCAGAUUCAACUGGAAUCAAGGAAGGUUGCGCAAAAGCUAGAAAAAAGUCUCGAGAAAUAAAGAAGUUUUUGGGAGAAAGAUGAGUUUAGAGAUCCUAGUUGAAAAUUGACGUCAGUCUAGGCAAUUCCAUCAACAAAGCAAACAAGUGGAAGGAACUCACAAAAGCGAAAAAAGUUGCAACAUUGAUGAGAUUUCAUAUUACUUUUGACUGUUGAAUUAUCUUUUUAUUUUUGUGAGAAUUGUAAUGGUCACUAAUCAUGACGAUUUAUAUAUACAUUUUUGUUUUAUCGGUAAAAUUAAUAUUUUAGUGACGAGAUGAUAGUUUUUACUA